ACGUUGUGUGACAUGUCCGUUUCGGUGAUUUACUCUGAUGUUUAUUUAUUAUUUAAUUGCUUUGGGAAAACGGGGUGUUACACUUGG
rnacentral:pre_miRNA from 1 species